rfam:Oryza meridionalis cultivar OR44 (W2112) chromosome 6, whole genome shotgun sequence.
UUUAAAUGUAGUUGUGAGUUUUUUUGUCCAACGUUUGACCGUGCACCUUAUUUGAAAUUCUUUUAUGAUUAGUAUUUUUAUUGUUAGUAGAUGAUAAAACAUAAAUAGUACUUUAUACAUGACUUAUUUUUUUUAUAAAAUUUUCAAAUAAGAUGAAUGGUCAAACGUCGGACACGUAAACCUACAACUGCACUUAAA